rnacentral:rRNA from 1 species
UACGUAGGGUGCAAGCGUUACUCGGAAUUACUGGGCGUAAAGCGUGCGUAGGCGGUUUGUUAAGUCUGAUGUGAAAGCCCUGGGCUCAACCUGGGAAUUGCAUUGGAUACUGGCAGGCUAGAGUGCGGUAGAGGAUGGCGGAAUUCCCGGUGUAGCAGUGAAAUGCGUAGAGAUCGGGAGGAACAUCUGUGGCGAAGGCGGCCAUCUGGACCAGCACUGACACUGAGGCACGAAAGCGUGGGGAGCAAACAGG